CCUGUGCUCUACGGCGUGUCCCCGGAUGGACAGACAGUAUUCUAAUAGAGUAAUGAAGCUUGAUGGUAUGGAAAUCAGCAUCGGCCUUGACCUUCUAUUCAUAGUGUAUGAACUCUGACUCUCCACUUUGGUAGGACUCACCCAGAACACCAUCAAUCAAGAGGCCACGCCAAACUGAGUUACAAGAGAACUUCUUAAAGUCAUUCUUCGACACAGCCUCUUCAGGCCACACAACGAGUGUCGUAUGAGCAAAGUGUCGUGGUACUGACAGACGGACUUUCUGGUGAUAUGCUCCCCUCAGAGCCCAGCCCAUGCCCCUGGCGGUGUGCCGAUAGCCCCUCCGCUACCUUGCCGACAGACCCCGAGAGGAGAAGAUCUGGAUCCUAUCUGAGGUGGCUCGAUGACAGUGGUAUAUAAGGUGAUUGCGUCGCUUCAGCGAAUGACCGCCACGUCCAGCCAAGGCGCCCUCCCUACUUGCACAUUUUCCGUGGGAAACAACUCAGGCUCCCAACUGCACCUGUCACGCUGCCCCCGCUGCAGCCCAGACAAAUGUUUCUGGCCACCCCGAAGGGAUGCUUUAGCUGACUUUUCCACAGCUGGGGAUGCAGUCUCGCCCUUUUCCGAUCUCGUGCUUUUGGAAGGGGCUCCGUUCUCUCUUGGCCCCCACCCCUCCCCCCCUCCCCGGAUCAAAUACCAAGUGCGCCAGACGGACGGGACAGAAG